CCUCUUACAGUCCAACUUGUGCAAAAGGUUCACUUGAACAAUGAUGACGAUGCCGGUAAUCAUGUCGAGCAAAAAACACUACUACAAUUGAAACAUUUAGACCCUUUUGAAGCAGUGGUAAAAAAUUUCAUCCUUUACACAUCUCAUAUCCAAAUAUAAUUCCAUUACUACUCUUUUAUCUCAUACAUAAUUAUCGCCACAGGGUGCUAGGUACGAAUGCUCUAUUACAUUCACAAGAUUUACACCAGAUCAAACCUGGUGUUACACUGCAUGUAGGGCCUGCAAUGCUAAAUCGAUAUUCAAUGGCACUACUUACCAAUGUUCUAAAGAUAAAUGUACCUGCACACAAAUUGAUUACAAGAACAAGAUCUCCAUUUUCGGGGGUGACCACACAUGUGAAUUGGAAUUCAUGUUAUUCAAUGAAAAAGCAACACAGCUAGUAGGAAAGCCUGCUCAAAAACUUUUGACUACAGACGACAAAUACCACAUUCCUCCGAAAAUUUUAUCGCUGGUCGGGCACAAGAUCACUUGCAUCGUCAGAAUUUUACCUAACAAAAGCAUUAGAAGUGAAGACCCAACUUAUGAGAUCCUUAUAACCAAACAAAAUUUUGGGAAGCAAACAUACAUACCAGCUUUUCAACAAAGUACCAGUCUUCCCUUUCUGCUGAGUCUUAUCCAAUAAACGAUAACCUACCUCCUUUGGUUCCAAUUGUCUCUAAACCCAUCAAAGACUAGCUACCAUCAAGCUCAAACAUCCUGAGUCCUGAUGAUAUUCAAAGCAUGGAGAUUGAACAACGAGGACCACUAUUCCAAGAUUCCAGCACAUUACCAGUUAAGCGAGAUUUUGAGAGUACCAUCAAUGAGUCAAACGUACUAUCUAUGUUCAAACAUUAAUUGCAUAAAUUCUAAUUUUGUUUUUAAUAUGU